CACGUAGGGGGCGAGCGUUGUCCGGAUUUAUUGGGCGUAAAGAGCUCGUAGGCGGCUCAGUAAGUCAGGUGUGAAAACUCCAGGCUCAACCUGGAGACGCCACCUGAUACUGCUGUGGCUAGAGUCCGGUAGGGGAGCAUGGAAUUCCUGGUUUAGCGGUGAAAUGCGCAGAUAUCAGGAGGAACACCAGUGGCGAAGGCGGUGCUCUGGGCCGGAACUGACGCUGAGGAGCGAAAGCAUGGGGAGCAAACAGG
rnacentral:rRNA from 1 species